AAUGAUUCAAUGUAAUGAUGCAUGAAAUCUGAAAUGAUGGAGGGAACAAGGAAUGGUGUAGCAAUUGAGUGCAAUGAGUGGUGUUUGAAAUGAUUCAAAUGUGAAAGUGAAGUGAUGAUGCAAAGCAUGGGGGUAAAAUGGAGUGGUGUUGCAGCUAGGGAACAUGAAUGAUUGUGCACAUGGUAGAGAAAGGAAAGGGAGGUGGAAUGAUGCAACAAAUGAGUCAAUGGAGGGAACAUGGAUGAUGAUGCACGACAUAGGAAUCCAAAGGGAGUGCAAUGGUGGUGCACGACAAUGAUGGAAAGGUGAAUGGUGGAGUGACACCCCUUUGUGGCUGAGCUCUUUGUCCUUUUUACAUUAAUUCUUCUUUCUCUUUAACACAUUCCUAGCCUCUUUAGUCUUCAAUUUCGUCCAUCCACCUUACUCCAUGCAUGUGCUAUUCAUUCCAAGCCCAAAACUGCUCCAAAAUGCAUCUUAUUGCUUCAUAAGGCCUAUGGACCUACAAACACACGAAAAUAGCUUAAAAUAUAUAAUUAACUAAGAAAUAACAACAUAAAUGCAUGAGAACAAGCUAACCCAGUUGCAUAAAUAUGCUCCUAUCAAAUUCCCCCACACUUAGCUUUUGCUAGUCCUCGAGCAAAACAAAACAAACGAAACAAAUCAAACAUAACCUAGACCUUCCAACAUUUGCCUCAGGGAUUUUUAAUGAAACAUGACAUGUUAAAAAUCAUCAUUCCCACAGAUUUUGGUCAUCUUUACACUUGAGCACAUACUUAAUCACAGUCACCACUUACUAGUUCACAAUUAACCAAUUAAAACGAUGUUUUGAAUGUAGUAACAUGCCUUAGAGAAUUUGCUCAAUUUCUUACAAGAUACUCUCUAUUUUCACACACAUUUUCUGACUACACACCCUACACUAGUAUAUGUGAGAAGAUUAAUGUAAACACGAAAGACUAGAACUCACAUAUGUUAUAACAAAGAAAGCAAUUUUCUGGAGUCAUUAAGCAUGUUUAGAUAUGAUCACAUGAAUGGAAUGCUACUACUUAGAUGCGAGAACCAGUGACACCAUAUGCUCAUACCAAUUUCAAACUCCACAAAUUGAAACACACAACACUCAAGAUUGAAGUCAAGGGUUGUAACAGGGCUUGAGGGUAAUGGCUAAUAAAGAAAGGAUAGGAAUAACAAACGUUCUUAAAGCGAUAGCAAGCAAAGCAAUGAAAUAGACACUUGGAAUUCACUUUAGAAUGCAGAAUCAACUUUUAAAUACAAAGGCAAGAUUCUUGCAACACUUAGGGCCGAAUUCAAUGUUUUGGACCCUUUUUUAACAAACGUUUUUCUUUUCACUCUUUUUUUUUUUUUCUACCCGUGCCUUAUUAAGGACUUUGGCACACACACACACACAAGAAUCACUUCCCCCACACUUGCUUUCUGCAAUACAUUGAUCAAAAAGGAGUUCAUUUUAAGUCAUGUUUUACUAUGCUUCAAGAACAAGGGUAUGGAUGGUCCUAAACUAGGCUAGGUAAGGAUAGUGUGGAUUAACAAAGAACAUAGGCUUAACAAGGCUCAACAGGGUUAAACUUAAACACAUAAUGAAAUAGGGGCACGGCAAUUUGGCUUUGGGGGUCACUACACAACUUCAUCUUGAAUAUGUGUUAUGCAAAUCAAUAACAUGCUUUCAAUGAAAUAGGCAUGAGUUCUAGCAUUUGGAACUAAAUGAUGAAACGCCUUCUAAGUAGCAACCAAGCAAAGAAUAAUGAGAUCAUGCAACGACUUUAGAAAACAAUGAUGCACAGAUUAUUAACUCUCCAAAUAAACGUUUAGGCUCAAGUCUCACAAGGUUGUAGCGUUCAUUUGAGUUCCUUCCUUCAAGCAUGUUACAAAAACUGAUUUUUCCUUUAUGAUUGCAUGUGAAUUCAUAAAUUAUAACCACAACCAAGCAUACACCAAAGAAAAAAUCAAAUUUUCAUCCAUGUUUAUAACUCUCUUUAACAAUCAUAUAAUUAAAAACCAAAUCCUCAUCAUUGUGUUGGAAGGUACCCUAAGACACAAAUAAACACACAAAAACAACUCUUUUUGGGUUUUUCAAAAAAACAAUUUUUCAAAUUUUUAUGAGAUUUUCGGAUUUUUAUGUCAAAACACACUAAAACACUCCAAAACAGCUUAAAAAUACUUACAAACAGCAAGGAACAACACUAGAAGUAAUGAGUGAUAAACUCCUACAAAUUUUAUGCAAAACAACUUGGUUACCCCCCCCCCACACUUAAAUCAAACAUUGUCCUCAAUGUUUCAAGCAUAAACUCACACAAAAACAAGCAAACAAACAAACAAUGAAUAAACAUGACAAGUAUAGCAAAGUAAAAACCAGACAGAGUAAAGUUUAAGAACGCAAAUCUGGUUUUGGAGAUAGAUGAUCUUGUUAACUUUCCACAGCUUUGAUCUCGAACUGGUUUGGAAUUCUGAGUGAGGAAUAUUAGAGUUCUUGGUUGUGCAGUCUGCAUUCUUCUCUGCUUGUUUUUUCUGCAUGGCAAGCAGGCACGAGGUAGAGGUGAUGGUCUAUUUCUUUCUUCAAUCUUUCCAAGUGCCCACCAUUUGCUUUCUUUCUCCUUGUCCCUAGCUGAGGAUGAAUUAGCACAUUGUCUCCACAUGCUUCGAGGUAUCAUUUUCACUUCUCUUAUCUGUUCCCCGGGCAGAUGUGGUAGACGAAGAGGAAGCAUAAGAUGUUGAAGAUGAGUACUCGAGAGCAAGGCUAGGUAAGCAAUCAAGAAGGGGUUCUAGGCAGUCGGUUCCAAAUCGGAAGAUUAAUACCAAGUGCUGGUUGAUUUUUCUCUUUCUCCUUGUCCCGCAGAUGAAAACAACGACAAGGAGAAGGACAGGGACUCUUGCUUUCAACCUUCAUGAUAUGAAAUACAUUUGCUUUGGAUGAGUUGUUUGUAGAGGUACCCCAAGGAAUAAGGAACACUGAGUGACUCGAAAGGCUUCGUUGGGAAGGCAUUCUCGGAGAUGAAGGAAGGUUAUACAUGUCUGCCUUGCAAUGGAGGGUGAAGGUUGACAUUUAUAGGAAUUAAUAACCGUUACUAUUCUUUCACUCUUGUCGGCAACCGUUGGAUGAUUUAAUAGUAAACUUCACGUCCCUUCUACUUCACAAGAAAUCUUCGACAGAUUGCCCGUAAUUUUUGCAAGGUUGAGUGUGCAUGUGACAAGCGCUGACACGUCUGGAAAAGCAAAUGCCUCUUCAAUAUCUGGAAUCAGUGCUUCGACAAACUGCCCGUGAUUUCCGUAAAGCUGAGUGUGCAUGUGACAGAUGCUGACACGUUUGGAAAAGCAGAUGCCUCUCCAAUUUCUGAGCUUGCCUCUUCGAGUUCUGAGCUCGCCUCUUCGAGUUCUGAACUCCGUCGAAUGCAGAGGUUGCAUGUGACAAAUGCAGACAAAUCUGGAAAAGAAGAUUGGCCCGUGGUUUCUAAGUAAGCCCAACUUUUGAGAAAGCUAGUGCCUCUUCGAUUUUUGAAUUGGCCUCUUCGAUUUCUGAGCUCGCCUCUUCGAUCUCUGAAAUCCCGUCGAGUGCUGGUUUUUAUAGAGGCGCGCAGUACAUUUCAAAGCACACUUGAAUUUCUGCCUGUAGAAACUCCCUUCUUGCACUUCUACGAUCUUGACUUGUCCAACCUCUUCUUUCUUCAACACCUUUGAAAAUGUCUGGCCCCUUCGACCGUCAUUUUGACUUAAACCUUGGUGAAGAGGCAGCCAUGCCUUCUCCAGACAACAUAUGGCGCCCAUCCUUCAUAUCUCUUACUGGUCCUUUUACCGUUGGGGAUUCGGUGAUAAAGAAUGAUAUGACCGUUGCUGUAGUGGCCCGGAACCUUGUCACUCCUAAAGAUAACAGACUGUUUUCCAAACGGUCUGAUGAGUUCGCUGUUAAGGAUUCUCUGGCUCUCAGUGUGCAGUGUGCAGGUUCUGUGUCUAAUAUGGCCCAACGCAUAUUUGCUCGAACCCGUCAAGUUGAAUCAUUGGCGGCUGAAGUGAUGAGUCUCAAACAAGAGAUUAGAGGGCUCAAGCAUGAGAAUAAACAGUUGCACAGGCUCGCACAUAACUAUGCUACAAACAUGAAGAGAAAGAUUGACCAGAUGCAGGAAUGUGAUGGUCAGAUUUUACUUGAUCAUCAGAGGUUUGUGGGUUUGUUCCAAUAGCAUUUGCCUUCGUCUUCCGGGGCUAUACCGCGUAAUGAAGCUCCAAAUGAUCAACCUUCAAUACCUUCUCCUUCUGGGGCUCCGCCGACUGCUGAGGCUCCGCCGACUACUGAGACUUCUCCUAAGCAGCCUUUUUGAAGGCUUCCUCUUGUAUUUUCUGCUUAAUGUUCCUUUUUUUUCAUGAAAAUGAAUGUAAAAAUACUUUGCAUAUCUGUCAAUGUUUCAAAAUAAACUCACACAAAAAACAAUUAAACAAGCAACAAAUAAAAAUGACAAUCAUGGCAAAAUAAAAUGCAGAAAAGGGAAGGUUUUUAGAAACGCAAAACUGAUUUUGGAGCGAUUCAAAAAUCUUCCUCAUUUUUGAAUACAUGGGUUGCCUCCCAAGAAGCGCUUGCUUUAACGUCUUCCAGCCGGACGAAACUUCCUUCUAAGCUUGGAUAGGGCCCAUAGCAUGGAAUUGAUCCUUAAAUGGAAGGUGAUACUUGAUGUGAUCCGGCAAUGGUUUAAAUUCUAGUGUAGGUGCCUGAAUCAUUAAAAUCAACAAGUUAGUAUAAAAUAAAAUCAAAGUUGGAGAAGAUAGCUUACUUGCUUGCUCCGACACAAACUCAAUUACGAACACCACAUCUUUGAAGGUUGCAGGGAUAUGGGAUUUGGCCAGAUUUGGUGUUUUGAGAGUUAUGACUUGUCCCGUGUCAUAAAAUCCAACUUCUUUGGGAUUUUUCAUCUCAAGUGUAUCUUCUUUGAUGAAUUCUAGACAUUCCCCAUCCACUUCUUGCUCUUGAUUCUAUGGAAAGGUUUCGAAGAUGCCUUUCUCACCAUCUUCUUCCUUGGAUUGCUUGAUCCUGCAAGGAAUAAAGACAUUUGGUGAAACGGGGUCAAGACGAAUUGAAUUUAGGCUUACCUUGGUUGUAGUGGACGGCAUAUAGGGCAUAUGGGGCUGCAGCAAGGGUGGUUCUUCCCUUGCCAUGGCCUUGUUAUUCUCCUCUUCUUCGAGCAUCAACUGUUCAUCCAUGUUUUAGCUUGGUUUGGAUGUCUUGGGUUCACCUCCAACCUCCAUAGCACUUCCCAAAGUGAUAGCAUCAUGGAUUUCAAAAUCUUCCUUCAAAUUUUCAAUAGUUGAGUUGGAGAGUUCACUUUGCUCUUGAAUUUGUGCCGUGAACUCCAUAAUCUCUCCAAGUUGAUUUUUCAAUUCGCUCAUCUCCUUAGCUUGAUUGAGCAUUGUUUCAUUUUGAUUUUGCUGCCCCUGAGUUUGAUUGAGCAUAUUGUAUAUGAGGUUGUGAUGGCUGCAUAGGUCUUGAAUGGAACUCCUCUUCUUGCUGCCAAUAUCCAUCUUGUUGGAAUUGUUGAGGUUCUAUGUAAUCUGAAUAAUCUCUCCAAUCUGAAUUGUAAGCGUUGGAAAACAUGUUGUCCCAUGAUUGGCUAUGGCCUUGAUAACCCCAAGCAUCUUCAUUGGCAGUGAAUUGAGAAUAUUGCCGAGUUGGAUAUCCUUGCCCAUAGGACACACCACAUAUAGGGACACUUUGCAUUGUGGUCCUUUCGGCAUAUUGUGACAAUUGAGAAGUAAGUUCCGCCAAUUGAGUUUGAAUGGUAGCAAAAUCCAUGUCUUACUUCUCUAGUACCUGAAAUCAAGGAAACAAAACUAAAUCAAAUAUCAAAAGUAAAACAAAGCAGUGGAACACCUACAAUUUGAGGAAGUAUCAUAUGUGACCUUCCACUACAUCAAAGCCUAAAAACUUAAGCAGCUUGAUGAGUACCACCUCACAAGUCGAGGACUAUCUAGUUGUUAUCCAGUUCCUACCUUACAACUAAGUUCUCGUUCGUUUCACUCGUUUUUAAAUGAGGAAUUCAGAAGAAAUCUGCAACUUGGCUCAGCUGCAUGCUUACGACAACUAAUCACUUUUGCACUUCAAAAGAAGACUAUGCCCUUCUUAAGGACUCAUCGUAGGAAUUGCGCCCCCUGAGGGACCAACCAUGCUCUCCAGUGUGAGAGGGGGUAAACCAAUUCCCCAACACCCACUUAGUCUGCUCUCCAGUGCGAUAAGAUAAACUAAUUGUUCUCUAGUGCGAGAAGGUAAAUGAUAGGAGUAUAUUUAUGUGACUGAGUUAGCUUGUUCUCAUGCAUUUAUGUUGUUAUUUCUUAGUUAAUUAUGUAUUUUAAGCUAUUUUCGUGUGUUUGUAGGUCCAUAGGCCUUAUGAAGCAAUAAGAUGCAUUUUGGAGCAGUUUUGGGCUUGGAAUGAAUAGCACAUGCAUGGAGUAAGGUGGAUGGACGAAAUUGAAGACUAAAUAGGAAUGUGUUAAAGAGAAAGAAGAAUUAAUGUAAAAAGGACAAAGAGCUCAGCCACAAAUGGGUGUCACUCUACCAUUCACCUUUCCAUCAUUGCCGUGCACCACCAUUGCACUCCCUUUGGAUUCCUAUGUCGUGCAUCAUCAUCCAUGUUCCCUCCAUUGACUCAUUUGUUGCAUCAUUCCACCUCCCUUUCCUUUCUCUACCAUGUGCACAAUCAUUCAUGUUCCCUAGCUGCAACACCACUCCAUUUUACCCCCAUGCUUUGCAUCAUCACUUCACUUUCACCUUUGAAUCAUUUCAAACACCACUCAUUGCACUCAAUUGCUACACCAUUCCUUGUUCCCUCCAUCAUUUCAGAUUUCAUGCAUCAUUACAUUGAAUCAUUGCACUUAAUUCCUACACUAUUCCUUGUUCCCUCAAUCAUUUCAGAUUCAUGCAUCAUUACAUUGAAUCAUUGCACUCAAUUGCUACACCAUUCCUUGUUCCCUCCAUCAUUUCAUAUUUCAUGCAUCAUUGCACUCAAUUGCUACACCACUUCAUGUUCCCCUCCAUUGCCAUGCACUUCCUCUAUAAAAGAAAGUGUGUGUAACAUAAAUUUAGUUCAUAUUUGGUUAGAUCAUUCACUCCCAUUUCAACACAACCUUCAUCCAAACACAUCCAUUCAUCUUCACAUCCAUUCCUCCAUACAAACAAACCUUCAAACACUCACAAACACCUUGUGCCGUAGCAAAGGAAGGGAAGGAAAGUGCUUAGACGUGCUUGCUGUCCAACUUGGAUUGUUGGAGCGUUUAGGUGUUUUCUUUCUUUUGUUUCUAAUGUUUAAAUUCAUUUCCUUUCGUUUUGUUGUAAAUAUGAGUGGCUAAACCCCUCUUGGCUAGGGGUGAUUUCAAAGCCAUGAUUAUGUGUGCAAUAUAAUUUGAUAAAUUCCAGUUAUGAACUCUUGAAUCGUGAAUGUAAUUGGCUUAACUAUUUGAUUGAUAACUUAUUUGUAUUUGUUAAUUAAGGGUCGACACUUAAUUGGCAUGCAUAAAUCCGUUGCAAGAAUGUAAGAAAGUUUCACAUAAUCGUUACAAACUUAUAUUCAUAAGUAGUGGAGGUCGUUUAUAAACGAUCGCGUUAAGUUUAGUUCUAGCAUGAGUAACAUGAUGUCAUAGUUGCAAGUGCUUUGUCAAUGCUUAUGAUUUUCAUUAAACGUAAUGAUCUUUGAUUGUAUCUCUAUUAUGAUGUCAUGUAGGGAACUUUAGAAGAAUGUUUUGGGUUGUUGAAUGAUGUCAUCCAAUCCAAUAAAACAAGGAAAAUCUGAGAGUUAACUAGUGAUGUCACGGUUAAUUUGGAGCAUUGUCGUUCAUAAUCCAAUGAAGUAGUAACUGAUAAUCGAGUUAUCUACAUACAUGUCAUGUGUGAAGAAAAAGCCUCUAGCUAUCCCAUCCAUCAUCUUAUUUCUCAAAUUUGUUUUACAAUCUGUCUAGUUUUUCAUACUUGUUUGUUUGUUUCAACUUCGUCCAAAACUCAAUCCCCAUUUACUUUAGUGUGUCUAAUUAGUUAGAAUCUGUUUUAAUUUGUGUUUUUAAAUGUUUUGAUUCAAGUAAAAGUCAAUUUUCGUCCAAAGUCAUUCCUAGUGUCUAGUUUAAGUUUAUUUGGUUGUUUUAAGCUGUUUUGAGUAUUUUAAGUUUGCUUUGAGUCUUUAAGUCUUGGUAAGUGUUUUUAAGUUUAGUUUUAUGUUUUUGAGUCAGUUUAGAGGUUAUUAGUAAGCCCUCCUAAACCCCGGUCCAGAACGAUCCCUACUUAUACUUAUACUACAAUUGUCAAAAGAGGGUUAAAUUUGUGUGUUAAGUUAAUUUUCGCAUCAAGUUUUUGGCGCCGUUGCCGGGGAUUAGCAACUUUGCUAAUCUUGUUAUUUCUUUUUGUUUAUUUUCGUGUCUUUUGUUUUUAGUCACUGACUUUGUUUCUGUUUGUGUUUCUAUCUCUUUGUCGUUCAUGGUGGUGAAGGUGUAAUUUCCUUUGCCACCUACUCUACUGAUCUUGUACGGACCUUCCCAUAUAGGAUUCAUCUUUUUGGAGCCCUCUCUGCUGGCAGUGAUGAAGGUUUUCCUUAGAACUAGGUCUCUGGGUUGGAAUUAACAGAUCUUGGCCCUUUUGUUGUAGUUGGAGAGGAGUUGUUACUGGUAAGCUAUGAUGCAGGUGAUGGUUUGCUCGCAUUUCUCUUAUGCCAGAUCUUAGCUUGUGGCCAUCUCUUUACUGUUCUGCUUGAAGCUUGGCAGUUAAGUGUCGAUACUUGGCACGAUGAAAUUAGGAAAAUGAUCACUUCUAAACCAAAUGUCAAAGAGAAAAAUGUCUCGCCAGUGGCUUAUCGUUUGGUGGUGUGAUACGCCCUCAGAUAUCCGGGGAGUUCAUCUGGCCAUUUUCCCUUCUUGUCGGAGAGGGACUUCUUGAGGCAGUCGAGGAUCAUCUUAUGAGAUACUUUGGCCUACUCAUUGCCUUGAAGAUAUCUCAGUGUGGACAUGUAUUGCUUGAUGUCAUACUUUUAUAAGAACUUCACCAAAUCUUUGCCUACGAAUUGCGGGGCGUUGUUUGUGACGAUGGAUUGAGGGAUGCCAAAUUGGAAAAUGAUGUUCCUCCAUAUGAAACGCUAUAUGUCCGUCUAUGUUGUGGUAGUCAUGGGUUCUGCUUCUAUCCAUUUGGUGAAGUAAUCGGUUGUCACGAUCGUCAUGCCUUUGCCCACCAAUAGCAGGCAGCUUUGGGCCUACCAAGUUGAUUGCCCACUGCAUGAAUGGCCAAUGACUCGUAUGUGGGAGUGAUUUGCUGGUAUCGACUUAUAGCGUUGGCAGCGGUCGUACUUUUGUUCUAACUCCUUAGCAUCUUGGUGCAUGGUAGGCCAGUAGUAGCCUACGUUUAAAACCUUCUAUGCUAAGGAUUGGCCUCUAGAGUGAUUUCCACAAACGCCUUCAUGGAUUGAACUUAAAACCUUAAGGUCAUCAGGAAGGGCUAGGCAACAAAGAUGUGGUCUAGUGUAAGAUCUUUGGACAAGAAUGCCAUGCCACAUGUAGUAGCGUGCUGCCUUUAUUUGGAGCUUUCUAAACUCCAACCUUUCGAUGGGGAAUGUGCCAUUAAACAAGUAGUUUAUAAUAGAACUUUGCCAGUUUGGAAUUAUACUAACCUGUGACACUUUGGCUGUUGGCUCCGCCUUUAUGCUUAGCUUGUCUAGAUACUCCAUCGGAAUAGAGUGUUUAAGUUGGUGGUCAAGAGUGGUGCCUAGGUCGGCUAGUGCGUCCAUGUGAGCGUUAUCCACCCGUGGAACUUAAGAAAUGGUGUAAGUCUGAAACGCCUUAAGUAGUCUGGCUAAUGAUUAGCUGGGAAUCAGAAUGAAUGGCGAGCUUUUCACAGCCAAGUCUUUUGCCAUUCAAAGGCUUGCUAGAAUGGCUUCGUACUCUGCUUUGUUGUUAGAUGCUUUGAAGCUUGAAGUGAAUGCCUACUCGGGCAUCGAACUGUCUGGGGUGACAAGGACUAUGCCUAUUCUCAAACCUUUGUAGUUAGAUACGUUGUUGACAAGAAAAUGCUAAAAGUCUCCAUCGGGUGGAGCAGGCGCGGCUAGGGCGUGCUCGGCUACCUCUGAGGUGUCAUUGGGCAGCUCUGUUGCGUCGCUUAGGCUAGGCGUGAAGGCAUGGUAGGGGGCGUGGAGCUGGGGCCAUACGACACAUAGCAGGAGAUGCUCAACUGCUGAUAUUAGGCCAUUCUAGAGUUGAAUUAUGGAGCAAGGGUCGGCUUGGGCCGUGUGACAUGUAGUAAGAGGUGGUGUUCGACUGCCAGUACAUGUUACUCCUAUGUAGAAUCUUUUGGGACGACGCAGACAAAGCUUGCUUCCGAGUAUGUUCUUCUAGUGUUUGUUUGCCCUUGAUGCGCUUUUUGGCCGAGUUGUUACGUUCGUCAAAAAAUUUUACAUUCGUCAGUGUCUACGUCUUUAUUGUCGCACGUCUGGAUUGGGCUGAAUAGUGUGUCAUAAGGAUGACUAUGUGCGUCUAAAAGUAAAACUUAAGCUUCUGGGUCGUAACAACUAUUGCCAAAGUUAGCUUUUGAAUUCCUGGUAACAUCGAGAAUAGCUUUUAAACUAUGGAAUACAAGUAGUCGGGCGCCCAGCUCUUCUCAUAUGAGGGCAGAGCUCAAUGCUACUUUGGAGACUGUCAGGUAGAUGUAUAAGUCAUCCACUGCUUCCGACUUUGAUAGUAAGGAAGGUGAUGUAAGACACUUUUUCAGGUCUUGGAAAGCUAUUUCGCACUCUUCAUCUCAUUUGUCUCGUUGUGCCAUCUUAAUGGCCUUGAAAAUGGGCUUUCAGCGAUCGGUGGACCAUGAAAAAAAGCAGUUGAGGGCGGCUGCUCGUUCAGUCAAGCUUUGGAUCUUCUUUAAAGUAAUGGGAGAUUUCAUCUCUAAGAUCGCUCGGAUUUGCUUGGCAUAUAGUCGUGAAGCGACUCCUUUAGGUUCUUCUUGACAUUGAACAAAUGGUAGGACUUUUUCUUGAUCGAGUGAUAGAAUGAAUAUUCUUUGGUGAAAACCAAAGAAAAUUCGUCAAAUCUCCAAAUGGAUUGUGGCGACAGGGUGUAGAACCAAUCUUACGCCGUGCCUUGUAGAGUGAUGGUGAAUAUCUUACACAUGAGACCAUCGUUGUUUUGAUAGAGGAUCAUUGUGCUUCAGUAGUGUUUUAAGUGUCUCUCUGGGUCUCCAUCUCCUUUGAAGGAUGUGAAAUGUGCAUGCUGAACUUACAUAGAGGCUCUACUUGCUUGAUCCCGUCUGUGAAGGGUGACCUACUUAUGUUAGUCAUGUCCCGUUGUAGUGCCUCGUCAGUGACCUCAUUGCGUUGGAAAUGGCUCAAUCGUUUGAUCAAGAAUCUCUUUACUUCUUCCUGAAUUUGCAUUUCUUAAGGUAGCAGAGCUCUUGGCUGCCCUCAGUCGUGACUUGCUAGUCUAGGCUGCUCUUCCAUGUGUUUGGCUCGCCUAUGCCGUGAAUGUGGUGCAUGUGGUGUGUUCCUAGCAGGCGAGUGAGUUCUUCGCAGGCAGCUAGUUGAACUUGAGCCAGAUUAAGUGACUGCUUCUAUCCGUCUGUCGUGCUGCCUAUUCCAAUGUUAGAUGGAGGAUGCUCCUUACGGGUUUAACCGCGAAUGAACACUUUGCCUCGAAGGUUGCUCAUGUUGACUAUCGGAGUGUAACCCCAAUGGUGAAUGUAUGUUCGUCCAUGGGCCUAGUCGAGAGUGCACGCUCCUUCGAGCUCUAAGACAGAAGUAUACGCUAUCUCGAUGGCCCAGUCGGGAGUGUACACUGCCCAAACACUAGGUUCGUGGCUGGUCAAGUGGUUGCUUACCAGGACGCUGCUGGAGAGGUUCUUCGUCUGCCUUUGUUCUACUUCAAGACACCUCAUCUGGGGCACAUUACAUCUCGGUGCACUGCAAAAGUUGUUUCACCAAGGUCGUCUGCUGUGCGAGGGCGCUCAUCAACUCUAUGACUUGUCGAGACAAGUGUUGUUCUCCAUUUGGGUUGGAAAAGCUUGGAAGGAAUGUAUCUCCUUAAGCAGUGGGAGUGUGGUAGACUCCGGGCUCUAGAUUUGAGUUAGGAAAUGUCAAAUCCAGAGAAAAAUAUGGUGAAAAUGUUCCCGGUUCGAUCAUCGGUCCAAAAAUUUAGAGCCGGGAUAGAUGAACUAAUCUUGGACCAAUUUGGGUUGCUUGAAAGCCAUGGGAGCAGGCUGGGUCGCGAGAACAGGGUAGGCCACGGAAGUGGGCUACUCGGCGUGUAGCGCACGUGGGUACGAGGCUAGGGCUCAGCUUGACAGCACGUUGGGUUCACGUUGGGUUGGGUGGCACGGGCCCGUUUGCCUUGGGCUUGGAAUGACACGACUUGGGCUGUGGCCUUGGUGCCAUGUGUUGGAAAUAUGCCCUGAAAGUCAAUCUUUGGAAGAAAUCUUUCAGGACAAAUGAAUCGAUGUAUGAUGAUGAUGAAAUGGCAAAGAUACUAAUUAGGACUAUCUCAAUAAACGAUAUAAGUCCUGAAUAGUGAAUCCAUGGACAAUGGAUCGAUUGAAGAAGUAAUCUAAUGAUGUUAAACUACAGAGACCUUCUUCACAUAACCAUUAUGUCCAAAAGGUUCCUGGUCGUUGGAUUGUCGGAGGGAUACUGACAAUGCUUAGACCGGUACAUACUGUGUCCGCUUCAAUUGGAAGGAUGGAAAGUCUCAACCCAUUCGUGUUGUGACACUGAGACAAGUAUGUAGGUGCUCAUUAAAGGAAUGAGUUCACUGAACACAAACGAAUCAGAGUAAUCUGGAGGUAUCAGAGUACUUGCAUGGAGGUCUACUCACAUGUCAAGCAAGUAACUCAAAUGGUUGGAAUAAUGUAAGUAAUCCUUUGACCUGAGGCAUCGUCGUUGUCUUGUGGUUAAGUACUUAAUCUUUGAUUAUGUCAACGUCACUCUAUCAGAGUGUCAACGGCAUAGUUGGGGUUAAGCCACUUAGUCAUGAAGGCAAGUGUAUAUGCGCAACAAGGAAUCUCUAAUCCUCGAUAAGAGAGGAAGAAUACUCUAAGAUAUGAUUCGGGAAUCUUCGGCCGCCGAAGUAUCGAGCGUAAUAAAGGGAA
rnacentral:lncRNA from 1 species